rnacentral:rRNA from 1 species
UGGGGAAUAUUGCACAAUGGGCGAAAGCCUGAUGCAGCAACGCCGCGUGAGUGAUGAAGGCCUUCGGGUCGUAAAACUCUGUCCUCAAGGAAGAUAAUGACGGUACUUGAGGAGGAAGCCCCGGCUAACUACGUGCCAGCAGCCGCGGUAAUACGUAGGGGGCUAGCGUUAUCCGGAUUUACUGGGCGUAAAGGGUGCGUAGGUGGUUUCUUAAGUCAGGAGUGAAAGGCUACGGCUCAACCGUAGUAAGCUCUUGAAACUGGGAAACUUGAGUGCAGGAGAGGAAAGUGGAAUUCCUAGUGUAGCGGUGAAAUGCGUAGAUAUUAGGAGGAACACCAGUAGCGAAGGCGGCUUUCUGGACUGUAACUGACACUGAGGCACGAAAGCGUGGGGAGCAAACA